GACGAACGCUGGCGGCGUGCUUAACACAUGCCAGUCGAACGGAAAGGCCCUGCUUUUGUGGGGUGCUCGAGUGGCGAACGGGUGAGUAACACGUGAGUAACCUGCCCUUGACUUUGGGAUAACUUCAGGAAACUGGGGCUAAUACCGGAUAGGAGCUCCUGCUGCAUGGUGGGGGUUGGAAAGUUUCGGCGGUUGGGGAUGGACUCGCGGCUUAUCAGCUUGUUGGUGGGGUAGUGGCUUACCAAGGCUUUGACGGGUAGCCGGCCUGGGAGGGUGACCGGCCACAUUGGGACUGGGAUACGGCCCAGACUCCUACGGGAGGCAGCAGUGGAGAAUAUUGCACAAUGGGCGGAAGCCUGAUGCAGCAACGCCGCGUGCGGGAUGACGGCCUUCGGGUUGUAAACCGCUUUCGCCUGUGACGAAGCGUGAGUGACGGUAAUGGGUAAAGAAGCACCGGCUAACUACGUG
rnacentral:rRNA from 1 species